CAAACGGCCCUUUUAAGGGCCAACAAAAUUUUGAGUUGGUCGCAUG
rfam:Octopus bimaculoides Scaffold241987_contig_15, whole genome shotgun sequence.